rnacentral:misc_RNA from 1 species
GGAUUUUGAACCUCACCAUGGGCAUAAUCGCUCAAAGCAGCUCCAGUGUUUUUAAGGGACAUAGAAUAGGCGGAGUGAGCGGCGGCGAAAGCAUUUCGAGCGGUGACAGCGUCCUUCAUAUGAAUCUUGCGUUCUUUACAACGGGCGAUGGCUUCUUCAUUCUCGAUCUUGGACUGUGAACAACCCAUUGAUCGGCGGCGAAAUCAAAGAGAGUUUGGUAAUUGGAAAUGGAAA